rnacentral:rRNA from 1 species
AUUGAACGCUGGCGGCAGGCCUAACACAUGCAAGUCGAACGAGUGGCGGACGGGUGAGUAAUGUCUGGGAAACUGCCUGAUGGAGGGGGAUCACUACUGGAAACGGUAGAUAAUACCGCAUACCAUCAGAUGUGCCCAGAUGGGAUUAGCUAGUAGGUGGGGUAAAGUCUCACCUAGGCGACGAUCCCUAGCUGGUCUGAGAGGCUGACCAGCCACACUGGAACUGAGACACGGUCCAGACUCCUACGGGAGGCAGCAGUGGGGAAUAUUGCACAAUGGGCGCAAGCCUGAUGCAGCCAUGCCGCGUGUAUGAAGAAGGCCUUCGGGUUGUAAAGUACUUUCAGCGAGGAGGCGUUACUCGCAGAAGAAGCACCGGCUAACUCCGUGCCAGCAGCCGCGGUAAUUC